rnacentral:misc_RNA from 1 species
CUNAGNAGCCUGAAAUGUUUAGCCAAACCAAUGUAUAAUGUAUUGGUGGUGAAAAAGUAUAAAGAUUCCAAAUCAUUAUACCAAUUAUACAUCCAAUACAUUAUACAAUAUAAAAGCACUUUUAGGAAAGAAGACGAAGAUUAUUUUGGAAAGAAUCCAAAGAUUUUAAUUACUCUCGCUGUUAGUUCAACUAAUUUAAGAUUUAAGAUUUUAGAUUUCAGAUUUCCCAUUAGGGAUUAAUCUAAAAUCUAAAAUCAGNAAUCUACAAUACUGAUGUCUCGUAGCUCAGCCGGUUAGAGUACUACACUGAUAAUGUAGGGGUCGACAGUUCGAGUCUGUCCGAGACAACCAAUUAAUUAAAAAUUAAAAAUUGAGAAUUAAAAAUCAAGAAUUAAGAUUUAAUUAUAAACACGUUCAUAUACAAAUAGGAAAUUUUAGAAGUUGAGAGAUUAAGAAUCAAGAAGUUCAUAAUUUUUAAUUCGUAAUUUUUAAUUUUUAAUUAAAAAGGGGGAUUAGCUCAGCUGGCUAGAGCGCCUGCCUUGCACGCAGGAGGUCAACGGUUCGACUCCGUUAUUCUCCACAAGAAGUACAAAGAUAUAAGUACAAAGUAUCAAGACGCGAGUCUUAAUACUUAAUACUCAAAAUCUUAAUACUUAUUAAAGUUCAUUGACAUAUUGAGAUAAGAAAUAAUAAAAAGUAGAAAGCAGAUUUGCUAUUUAUUUAGUAAAUCGAAAAAAACGGUCUUAAUUAAAUUUAAGAUUGGUA